UUUCCGUAGGUGAGCCUGCGGAAGGAUCAUUAAAGUUAUAGUCCCCCGGCCCUCUGGGCUGGGGUCUUCUAUACCACCCUUUGUUUAUUACACCUUCGUUGCUUUGGCAGGCCUGCCCUCGGGCUGCUGGCUCCGGCCGGCUCGCGUCUGCCAGAGGACCUAAACUCUGUUUGUAUAUGAAGUCUGAGUACUAUAUAAUAGUUAAAACUUUCAACAACGGAUCUCUUGGUUCUG
rnacentral:misc_RNA from 1 species